UACCAAGCUACGAAGAGCCAAUGGUGAAUGCCUUGGCGCCGAACACCGAUGAAGGACGUGAUAGGCUGCGAUAAGCCACGGGGAGCCGCCGAAUAGGCUUUGAUCCGUGGAUAUCCGAAUGGGGAAACCCGGCACCUUUUAUCGGGUGUCACUCCUGCCUGAAUCUAUAGGGCAGGUAGAGGGAACGAGGGGAAUUGAAACAUCUCAGUACCCUGAGGAAAAGAAAGCAACAGCGAUUCCCGGAGUAGCGGCGAGCGAAAUGGGAAGAGCCUAAACCGAAUCCGGUGGUAAAGCCUGGUGGCGUUGCCGGAUCGGUGUUGUGGGACAUCCCCGACCGAGCACCAGAUCGGUCAAGGAGUUACAAAGCAGGCAGAUAGCGGAACCGUACAGGAAAGGCGGGCCGCAGAGGGUGACAGCCCCGUACGCGAAAUCUGCUUGCCUCCUGGGAUUGCUCCCGAGUAGCGCCGGUUCCGUGAAGGCCGGCGUGAAUCUGCGAGGACCACCUCGUAAGGCUAAAUAUGUGUCGGCGACCGAUAGCGAACUAGUACCGUGAGGGAAAGGUGAAAAGUACCCCGGGAGGGGAGUGAAAUAGUACCUGCAACCAUUGGUUUACAAGCAGUUGAAGCGCUACUGGGCACUUGUGUCCAAGCGCGACAGCGUGCCUUUUGAAGAAUGAGCCAGCGAGUUACGGUGUGUGGCAAGGUUAACCAGUGAUGGGAAGCCGGAGCGAAAGCGAGUCCGAAUAGGGCGCACAGUCGCAUGCUGUAGACCCGAAGCCGUGUGAUCUAUCCAUGGGCAGGGUGAAGCGGAGGUAAGACUCCGUGGAGGCCCGAACCGACCUAGGUUGAAAACUGGGCGGAUGACCUGUGGAUAGGGGUGAAAGGCCAAUCAAACACGGUGAUAUCUGGUUCUCCCCGAAAUGCAUUUUGGUGCAGCGUCGCACGUUCAGCCAUGGAGGUAGAGCACUGAUUGGGCUAGGGGGCCCACAAGCUUACCGACCCCAGUCAAACUCCGAAUGCCAUGGCUCCAGAGUGCGGCAGUGAGUCCACGGGGGAUGAGCUUCGUUGGACGAGAGGGAAACAGCCCAGAGCGCCGGCUAAGGCCCCUAAGUGUGUAUUAAGUGGCAAACGAUGUGGGAUUGCCCAGACAGCCAGGAGGUUGGCUUAGAAGCAGCCACCCUUGAAAGAGUGCGUAACAGCUCACUGGUCGAGUGGUCCUGCGCGGAUAAUGUAACGGGGCUAAAUACACCGCCGAAGCCGCGCCUUUGAGUUCGCUUUCGAGCGAGCUUGAGGGGUAGGGGAGCGUCGUGCCUGCAGCGAAGCCGGAGCGUGAGCGCCGGUGGAGCGGGUCCGAGUGAGAAUGCUGGCAUGAGUAGCGAGAGAGGGGUGCGAAUCCCCUCCGCCGUAAGCCCAAGGGUUCCUGGGGAAGGCUGGUCCUCCCAGGGUUAGUCGGGAGCUAAGGCGAGGCCGAGAGGCGUAGUCGAUGCACAACCGGUUGAUAUUCCGGUACCACCGCGUGCGCGCCCAGUCCAAAAUGCGGUUGCUAAGGGGCUGUCCUCCCUUCGGGGAACGACGAACCGACCCACCGCACCGAGGACAGCAAUGAGGGGACGCAGGAGGAUAGGUGAACCCAGGCGAUGGUAGACCUGGGGUAAGCGAGUAGGACGGGGACUAGGUAAGUCCGGGCCCCAUAAAGUCCGAGACGCGAUGCCGAGCCGCUACAGGCGAAGUCAUUGAUUCCAUGCUGCCUAGAAAAGCCUCUAGCGAGUUCACGUGGUGCCCGUACCUAAACCAACACAGGUAGGCAGGUAGAGCAUACUCAGGCGAACGGGAGAACUGUGGUUAAGGAACUCGGCAAAUUGCAUCCGUAACUUCGGGAGAAGGAUGACCCUGCGAUGGUGACGGCACUAGCUGCCCGAGCCGGAGAGGGUGGCACAAAAUAGGGGAAAGCGACUGUUUACUAAAAACACAGCAGCGUGCGAAGUCGUAAGACCAUGUAUACGCUGUGACGCCUGCCCGGUGCCGGAAGGUUACGGGGAACGGUUAGCUCUUCGGAGCGAAGCUGUGAACCUAAGCCCCGGUAAACGGCGGCCGUAACUAUAACGGUCCUAAGGUAGCGAAAUUCCU
rnacentral:rRNA from 1 species